rnacentral:rRNA from 1 species
UACGGAGGGGGCUAGCGUUGUUCGGAAUUACUGGGCGUAAAGCGCACGUAGGCGGCUUUGUAAGUUAGAGGUGAAAGCCCGGGGCUCAACUCCGGAAUUGCCUUUAAGACUGCAUCGCUAGAAUUGUGGAGAGGUAAGUGGAAUUCCGAGUGUAGAGGUGAAAUUCGUAGAUAUUCGGAAGAACACCAGUGGCGAAGGCGACUUACUGGACACAUAUUGACGCUGAGGUGCGAAAGCGUGGGGAGCCGAACAGG